GUGGGUAUAGUUCAGUGGUAGGGUGCAUGCUUCGCGUGCAUCAGGUCCUGGGUUUGAUCCCCAGUACCACCA
rnacentral:tRNA from 1 species